GACGAACGCUGGCGGCGUGCUUAACACAUGCAAGUCGAACGGAAAGGCCCUGCUUUUGUGGGGUGCUCGAGUGGCGAACGGGUGAGUAACACGUGAGUAACCUGCCCUUGACUUUGGGAUAACUUCAGGAAACUGGGGCUAAUACCGGAUAGGAGCUCCUGCUGCAUGGUGGGGGUUGGAAAGUUUCGGCGGUUGGGGAUGGACUCGCGGCUUAUCAGCUUGUUGGUGGGGUAGUGGCUUACCAAGGCUUUGACGGGUAGCCGGCCUGAGAGGGUGACCGGCCACAAUGGGACUGAGGUACGGCCCAGACUCCUACCGGGAGCAGCAGUGGGGAAUAUUGCACAAUGGGCGGAAGCCUGAUGCAGCAACGCCGCGUGCGGGAUGACGGCCUUCGGGUUGUAAACCGCUUUCGCCUGUGACGAAGCGUGAGUGACGGUAAUGGGUAAAGAAGCACCGGCUAACUACGUG
rnacentral:rRNA from 1 species